rnacentral:rRNA from 1 species
UACCAGCUCUUCGAGUGGUGUGGAUGUUUAUUGGGCCUAAAGCAUCCGUAGCUGGCUGGACAAGUCCCCUGUUAAAUCCACCGAUUUAAUCGUUGGAGUGCGGGGGAUACUGUUCGGCUAGGGGACGGGAGAGGCAGACGGUAUUUUCGGGGUAGGGGUGAAAUCCUAUAAUCCCGGGAAGACCACCAGUGGCGAAGGCUGUCUGCUAGAACGCGCCCGACGGUGAGGGAUGAAAGCUGGGGGAGCGAACCGGAUUAGAUACCCGGGUAGUCCCAGCUGUAAACGAUGCAGGCUAGGUGUUUGGGCGGCCACGUGCCGCUCUAGUGCCGCAGGGAAGCCGUUAAGCCUGCCGCCUGGGGAGUACGGCCGCAAGGCUGAAACUUAAAGGAAUUGGCGGGGAGCACCACAAGGGGUGAAGCUUGCGGUUU